UUCUAUCAAGCAUUUCAAAAGCAAUCCCUUUAAACUUACAUAAAUAUAGAUAUAUGUAUAAAUAUACCAUAUAUUAAUAUAUCAGUAUAAAUAUAGACAGGUAUACCUUUGAUAUAUAAAUAUAUUACAUGUAAAAAUACAGUUGUUAUAAGAAUCUAUUCUUAUGCCACUGUAGUAGAUAUGGGGGUAGGGUAGACAGUUGGAAGAAGACGAAUAUGAAGUGGAGGAAGAUAGUUCAGACCAACAUCUUGCAAAGAUCAGUUGAACUCACUUGGAUCAACUAAAACCCACAAUGCCUUUGAUGCUUCUAGCCUCUAACUUCAAUGCUAUGGAUAUUCUUCAAGAAAAGCUGGCACUUCACAAAACUAAGCAAGUACCUGGCCAAGGAGUCAGAGAAAAUGAAGGAGCAUUCAGAGAGAGCUGGAGUUGUUGCAGGAACGCUAAGAAGAUAUUGCCUAAAAUGUUUAUUGCAAUGAAUAACUCACAACCAUGCAGAGAUAGCAUUUCAUCACUUGGAGAAGGAAACUUUCAUCAGAAUAAUUACAAACAAUACAUGGUAUAGAGUUUGAGAGCUGCUCUUCCCAUGCACCAAGGAAAAGGAGAUGCUGCAGAAACUGAUAUUUAAUUGGGGGGACUCCUGCAGAGAGACAAAACUCUUCUGGAAAGAGGGCCAGCAAAGUCAAAGAAGCAGUUUUCAAUAUUAUAAGAAAUACAGAUACUUGUCUUUUCAUCACAAAAAUAAGUAAUUAGAUAGAAAGGGUAUUAAAGAUUGGCCAAGCUCAAACUAUAUUUACCAAUUUUGUUAACUUCUUUUAAAGUUAAAUGUAAUUAUGUUGUGGAGGUUAUGUCACUUUUUCCAGUAUUCUUCUUGAAAGUAAAAUAUUUUCACAACUGUCUAUUAUUGUCCACCAAGAAACAUAUGAAGAAGCAAAAUGAAUUUUAAUAAUAGCAUAAAGACUGAGAAAGACACAUGUAAAUAUAGUAUUUUAAGGUUCUUAUAUGAAUAAAGUGAUGUGUUCUUAUUUAAACAUGUAUAUAUAAUCCCUAUAUCAACCAACAUGAAAGUUAAAAAUAAAUAAUUACACUGCCCACUCAGUUUUAAAAGGGGGUAAGAAUACAAGUUAAAUAGUAUAAAGAUUAGUUAAAAAUAAAAUGGUGACAUAACAAACUUAAAGUAGACAAUUUCAAUAAUUAUGUUAAAUAUAGACUAAGAUACAAACUGUCAGAUGGGAUAAAAAAAAAAAAACAAGACCCCACUAUAUGCCAUCUACAAAUCUUGUUUUCAAUUAAAAGAUACAAAUUAAAAGUAAAAUGAUGGAGAAAGAUACACUAUGCUAAAAUAGCUAGAGAAACAA
rnacentral:lncRNA from 1 species